CAGAGCUGAGAAUUCCACCCCGUGGAGGACUGGGGAAGGCAAAGAGCAGAGCACCCCUUCACCUUCACCCAAAUAACCGGUGCCGGGCAGCAACUCUCAGAGCUGCGAGUCCAGGAGCUCUUGCUGCGCCUGCCUCUUCCUCUCAGCAGCCAUCCAGGCCCUGGGCAAGGAGUGAGCAAGGAGGUUUGAAACACCAUCAGCCCACACGGCCUGCGCGCUCCGCAGGAGCUCACCCUGAACCGGAGCUCGGACGGAUUGCCUCGAAAGUACUCUCAGAAAGUCAUCCAACACGCGUACUUUCUGCCCAUUCUGCUUUCUGCGACGGUUAUUUAUCAGAGCCAUCUUAUUUCGCUGCAUUCAUUUUUAUGCAUUCAUUCCCCCCCCCCAAUUCCUGGUGGAAGGUGUUUGUCUUAAUCCAACAGAACAGCCCUGGAAAGAUCUGGAGGUUUCUAAUCAUGAACACAUAUCCUGCCUCGUACAGUUUGGCUGCAGUAAGUAACCGCAUUCCUUGCCAGAAGACCUCGGAGACUGCUACCUUGAUCAGUUCUUGUCCGUUAAUAGUAAUUGUGGUUUAGAGGUGGCAGUGGGAAGACUAUGGCAUAUUUAGCAGAUACAGCUUAGUGAGUGAUAGGCGGGGUCGGAAAGAAGCACACUGUCCAACCUGAAGUGUCCCCCCCCCGUGCGAGUGGCAGUUUGCAAAGCUGACUUCUGUGUGGUGAGCACGAAAAUGGGUUGAGAUGCCGUGGUGGGCUGGGUUGCCGGGAGAAUUGCCUUUGGCCCUGAGCACCAUAAAUUCUCCCGAGAUCAAGUCAGACCGGAGGGCCACUUCCUUUCCCUCCCUUCCAUUCCGCCAGAAUUCUCAAAAUAGGAGAGAAGGGACAGGAGCCGCUAGGCUGAAACUGGAGAGGCCAGCACUGGACAAGGAGCAGACCUGUGACGGGCUCCAACUUCCGGACCUCCAGUAUGCCCUGCUGCUUUGUUUCUCCUCGUCCGCGGGACAAUGAGUACCAUCUCUGCUGACGCGAAGGUAUUGUGAAAUAAUACCACUGCCAUGUGUCGCUAAAAGUAUGCACCUACUAACGCUGUGCCUGCGAUACAUGUGAUGCCUCAGAUACUCGUAGGGAUUAACGUCAUAAAUGAAGUACUCACAUCUGGGGACUGGAUAGGCACAGGCGAGCAGGAUAGUUCCGUAGUUCCCGAGGCUCUGAGCUGCCCCAC
rnacentral:lncRNA from 1 species